AGAAGAAUUUGUCGACUUUACAAUUUUGCCUCACCUUGUUUACCACCAACUCUGUGUUGACAGAUAAAAAAUAAAUUCAAAAGGGCUAUCUGGGUAAUCUUUCGAACACCGGAAGGCUUUAAGACACCAUGAUUCCACCCAGAACCCUGCCACCAUAUUGUUGCCUAGGCAACGUGGUGCCUCGAGACAUCAAGCUUCUUCUCCAGGGAGCAGACCAGACAUCUGAAUGUAUACAAUGUUCUCAAGAAAGGAAAUUCCUGUGAACUCUCCUGAGUCUUGUAAUUUCUUCCCUCCCAUUUCUCCAUGUAGCUGACCCAUCUACUUAAGAGAACAACGGCCAAAACCAACAGCUAGUUAAUUUUAUGGAAUGAUAUUAAUUUAUAAGAAUUAUUAUUAGUUAUUAUAAGAAUUAAAUAUGGAAUGAUAACUGCUCUCAUCUGACCUAUUCAAACAAGCUAUUGACAAGGAAAAAUGGAAAGUAGAUAAAGGAAAAGACAAAGAUAUAGGCCAUUACAGUUUCUUAGACAAGUCUUAACUGAUACAAUGCAAUAUAAACACCAGGAGGACAAAGGAGGCAAGAAAUGGUCUUAACCAAGAAAUGAUUGAUCGAAGAACAACAUUCGUUUAAAACUGAUUCACAGCAUUAUGGAAGAAACUUCUUUCCCCAUUCCUUUGUAGAAGUAGGGGUUAAUGAGUGAGGAACAUUGCUUAUAUUUCUGAAUUUUUUUGAUAUGUUGAUGGAUUUUGCUGAUUUUUAAGAACAGACCAAAAAAUCUCAAUGAAAAUGUAUUUUAAUAAAUGUUAUGGAAGAGGAUGGUUGAAGACUGUGAGCAACACUGACUCAUAAAAAAAGCAAAGAACGGAGUUGUGGGAAGAAAACACACCUGCAGAAAGCUUGAUGUGAGAUGCAACUAAGCCAGAUCAUCUUAAAUGUAUUUAGAGAUGAUAAAAAGAAUCAAAGAUAUUGAAAAAAAUUGGAAAACAUCCAUCAGGAUCUUUAUAACAAUUUUUCUCAUCAAGUAGCACAACAUCUGAACUCGCCCCUCUGUCUCUAACGUGCCAUAUGAGGAAGUGAAAAUGGCAACAAAGAUGAAGUUAGGGAAUGAAGCUGGACCCAAUUAAGUACAUGCAGAAGAAAUCAUGCUGGAGGCGACACAAUUUUGAAAGCCUUGCAGGAUCAGUUUUCAAGAUAUCUGAAAGAGGGGAAAUGUCAAACAACUGGAAAGAAUUUGAGAUGUUAUUAUUGUCCCUUUUAAAAGGAGGUCAAGAAGACACUGGUAAUGAGCACUCCUUAGGCUUGUCUUUUGAUUCUUAUCCAAUGAUGAAAAAGAAUCUAUAUGUCUAUUGAGGAAAACUUUGAUGAAAAGGUGAGAAAGGAGCAGACACCUGGAACUUGUCACGGUGAUCCCAGCCAAGUCAUCCUCUUUCUAGACUAACCAUCAACAAUCUGUUCACUGGAUUCUCCUGAAAAGGUUCCUCUGCUUGGGGGAGAAGGACGAGUUUCUAUUCAACACAAUCUCUUUUCCAUCUCACCGAGAAUAUUUCUAGAGAAGGUUCUCCACUGGGAAAAUUGGAUCUAGCACUUGAAGGGCUCUGGAACCAGAAAGAUGGAGUAGUUGUAUAGAAGCCUCGAAAGGACAUUUAUUUCCACUCUGUUUUACAGAGGAGGAAGAAGGAACUUAAGUGAGCUACAUGAAGAUUCAAGGAAUCGAGAUCUUCAAGAUCCUGCAGAAGCCAUCCAAGUAUCUGACUGGUGUGUCCUAAUCCCUCUGAUCUCUCAGCUUGAGCCCACUCUUCGUCCAAAGCUCUAUAUUUUUGUGGAAGAGUUUGCCUGAGACUAUUAAGGGAAAUACUUUUUACUGACUGUUCUUGUCAUACGAUCUUAGUAAAGACCUUUGCUACAAGUUAAUUAUGUCUCCUGGCCGAUUGUUAAUGGGAAGCACACUAGUAGGGAUU